UUCGACGUAACUUGAAAAACAAUUAUUGAUAUUUGCUAACUUUUGCCGUUAUAAAUAAACAUAUGCAGACUUACUGGGUAUAAAGACCAUUUUGGGCACGUCAGCUGAUAAGAUAUUCUCUCUAAUAAGCAACUAUGUCAAAAACUGUUCUAAUAUUGUUACUACUGGGAGUUUUGGCGAUUACUUUCGCUAAGGGACAAGUCUGUCCCAUCUUUACGUGUAAUGUUUCUGGAGUGCCUUGCUGUGGUUUUCCCAAAUACACACUGAUAGAAGGAUUUAUUUUGCAGGUGUGAGGUAGAGGAUUCUACAAGUGGAUUAGGAUCAUGCAAAUUCAAACUGAUGUGGGGAGAAGGAAAAGAAUAACGCUUGAAAAAAACCCAGGCAGCUAAUUACACGUUCAAGAACUUCAACAGACUGGGUGAUCAUUUAUUUGUCAUUUUUAGAAUUUAUAAAUUUAUCUUAAUAAAAAAAUUACAUGAA
rnacentral:lncRNA from 1 species